GACAGAGGUGCCGAGCGUUAGGCGGAAUCACUGGGCUUAAAGCGUGUGUAGGCGGGCGGCCAAGUACCUUGUGAAAUCCCACGGCUUACCCGUGGAACGGCUGGGUAUACUGGGAGUCUUGAGCCACCUAGGGGCGAGUGGAACAAAUGGUGGAGCGGUGAAAUGACGUAGAUAUCAUUUGGAACGCCAAUGGUGAAAACAACUCGCUGGGGGUGUGCUGACGCUGAGACACGAAAGCCAGGGGAGCGAACGGG
rnacentral:rRNA from 1 species